rnacentral:rRNA from 1 species
CCUACGGGUGGCUGCAGUGGGGGAUAUUGCACAAUGGGGGGAACCCUGAUGCAGCGACGCCGCGUGAGUGAAGAAGUAAUUCGUUAUGUAAAGCUCUAUCAGCAGGGAAGAAUAAAUGACGGUACCUGAGUAAGAAGCCCCGGCUAACUACGUGCCAGCAGCCGCGGCAAUACGUAGGGGGCAAGCGUUAUCCGGAUUUACGGGGUGUAAAGGGAGCGUAGACGGCUAUGCAAGCCAGGUGUGAAAGCCCGCGGCUCAACUGCGGUAGUGCAUUUGGAACUGUAUGGCUGGAGUGCAGGAGAGGCAGGCGGAAUUCCUAGUGUAGCGGUGAAAUGCGUAGAUAUUAGGAGGAACACCAGUGGCGAAGGCGGCCUGCUGGACUGUAACUGACGCUGAGGCACGAAGGCCAGGGGAGCGAAAGGGAUUAGAUACCCUAGUAGUC